AUUGAAGUGAUACCAUUUAAUUAAAUUUUAAGGGUGUGUAGUGGUAUUAAAGUGAUACAAAUAUAUAUAAUUUAAAGUGGCGUCUACUUAUGUACAUGAUGUAUGUAUGUAGCAUGGAUAAAUCAUUUUAAAAAUCUCACCGAAAGGAUUAAGAGAACUUGGCGAUAUUUGUAUGCGAAAUGAUACGCCCGUUUUCAGGGGCAGCAUAAUUUCGAGAGAGAAAAAAUCGCCGUGGAAAUCCCACCUCGGAUGCCAUUCCACUCCGAAAA